rnacentral:rRNA from 1 species
AAGACUAGAGUGCGGUAGAGGAAAGUGGAAUUCCUAGUGUAGAGGUGAAAUUCGUAGAUAUUAGGAGGAACAUCAGAGGCGAAAGCGACUUUCUGGUCCGUAACUGACACUGAGGCACGAAAGCGUGGGGAGCAAACAGGAUUAGAUACCCUGGUAGUCCACGCCCUAAACGAUGAGUGCUAGACGUCAGCUUUAUAAGUUGGUGUCGCAGCUAACGCAUUAAGCACUCCGCCUGAGGACUACGAUCGCAAGAUUAAAACUUAAAGGAAUUGACGGGGGCCCGCACAAGCGGUGGAGCAUGUGGUUUAAUUCGUCAACACGCGAAGAACCUUACCAGCUCUUGACAUGGGAGUUACCGAUUCUAGAGAUAGAAUCUUCGGUUCGGCCGGACUCCACACAGGUGCUGCAUGGCUGUCGUCAGCUCGUGUCGUGAGAUAUUGGGUUAAGUCCCGCAACGAGCGCAACCCUUGUCCUUAUUU